rnacentral:lncRNA from 1 species
AAAAUAAAAAUUGAUAAAUGAUACUUUUGGGCUUGUUAUAUGUUAGUUUAUACCUAAAUAGACAUAUUCAGAAGUUAAACGUUGUGAGUUCUGAAUUGAGAGAGUUUGUUUUGAAAUGUAUAUAUUGCUCUCCUAUCGGUUCAUUUUGGUCAUGUAGACAAAUCGCGUUCCUUAUGGGAAGGAAGAGGAUGUUGAAGGACUAGGUUCUAUUGAACUCGCAAACUCUAUGGUCGGAUCCUCCACUAAUGUCUCAGGAACAUCAUGCAUGUUACAUGAAGUUAAACGUUGUGAGUUCUGAAUUGAUAGAGUGUGUCCUAUCGGUUCAUUUUGGUCAUGUAGACAAAUCGUGUUCCUUAUGGGAAGGAAGAGGAUGUUGAAGCACUAGGUUCUGCUGAACUCGCAAACUCUAUGGUCGGAUCCUCCACUAAUGUUUUAGGAACAUCAUGCAUGUUGCAUGACGUUAAACGUUGUGAGUUCUAAAUUGAGAGUGUGUGUAUUGAAAUGUAUAUAUUGCUCUCCUGUCGGUUCAUUUUGGUCACGUAGACAAAUCGCGUUCCUUAUGGGUAGGAAGAGGAUGUUGAAGCACUAGGUUCUGUCGAACUCACAAACCCUAUAGUUGGAUUCGUCUUUGGUUUCUUGUAACCAGAGUCGGAGCUAGCAUUAGAAGUACGAGUCCAUCAUAAUUCAAUAUCUUUAGUCCAAACUCCAUACAUUUGUCGAGAAAUUUGUACAUAUUAUAAACUUCAAAAAUCAUAAAUUUCAAAUCCUGAAUUCGUCUUCGCUUGAAACAUCA